AAAAGGACACUUAAGUUAUUCACCCUCGACCAAAACAUUUCAGAAUUCGCCCUCCUUUUGAAAAUGGAACAUCCCUCUCUCUCCCUCCUUCUGAAAAUCGAAACCCUAAACUCUCUGAAUCUCCCUCCUUCUGAAAAUCGAAACCCUCAACUCUCUGAAUCUCCCUCCCAUUUGUUCUCUGUGGUCGUCACCGAGCUCGCCGACACAGGUCACUGUUUGCGACCCAUCUUUAGCCCCUUGGUUGUCGUCGUCUCCGAGCUCUGCCUCCAAUCUCAUAUCUCUAUUACAUAUCUGAAGCACCAUCUCCCCUCGUGCCAUCCACGUAAUGGAACUCGCCGAGAUCGCCAUCUCCCUUGCGCUAUCUAGGUCACCGAGCUCGCCCCAUCCAUCUCAUCGAGCUUGCCAAGCUCGCCAUCUCUCUAGUGGAUGAGAAGCGUGAGAAGAUGCUUCAAAUCUUUUACGACUCUCAAGAUUUCUUCCUUCUCUGUUUCAGCUUAUAUUGUACUUCUACAGCUCUGUUUAUAUGUUUAUUGGUGAUUUUAGCUAAAGGAGCUUGAGAAGUCAGGCCCAAAGAAAGGUGUUAUUUCUCAAUCUGUAAAAGAUGUGAUCCAAAGUUUAGUGGAUGAUGACCUUGUUUUCAAAGACAAGAUAGGAACCUCUAGCAGAAGCACUUAAUAAUCACUUGGCUGCUGUCCAGCGAGACCAUGAAGUCAGAUCUCAAAUAGAAGAAAGAAAAAUAAGAAUUGAUGGAGCUUAUGAAGAUGCUAAAAGAAAGGAAAACUCUCUGCAAGAGGAAAAACUUCGACAAGACAAGAACGAGCUAAAGCAGAAGCUGUGGUCUUUUUGAUUGGCCUUUUUAUAUAAUUACUGUUUUGUUGGUAACAUACUCAAGGCAGCAGAAAGUGCUCUGAAUCUAGAGCAGGGGAGACUACAAAAGCUUAAACAGUCUGAUGAUGAAAACCAGGCACUGAAAUUACGCUCCAUUGAGGAUUUCAAUAAGUAUGAGAGGCAAAUUUCUAAGUUGAUUCAACAGAUUACAGGUCCUUCUGACACCACCAACUUGGAAAAUGUGCAAGAAGGCAGAGCUAAGUCAACCCAAGAACAAAUUGAUGAAGUUAAGAUCAAAUUAGUAGAAUUUGUGAGCUCUAUUAUUUCUAAUUAUAGGUAGGAAGUAUGUACGCAAUAGAAUAAAGAUUGGUUGACUAUGUAAUAUAUUGAGUCUUCAAGUUUUAUGAAAGAAAUCAUUUUUGAGUGUA